AGUGAACGCUGGCGGUAGGCCUAACACAUGCAAGUCGAACGGCAGCACAGUAAGAGCUUGCUCUUACGGGUGGCGAGUGGCGGACGGGUGAGGAAUACAUCGGAAUCUACUUUUUCGUGGGGGAUAACGUAGGGAAACUCACGCUAAUACCGCAUACGACCUACGGGUGAAAGCAGGGGAUCUUCGGACCUUGCGCGAUUGAAUGAGCCGAUGUCGGAUUAGCUAGUUGGCGGGGUAAAGGCCCACCAAGGCGACGAUCCGUAGCUGGUCUGAGAGGAUGAUCAGCCACACUGGAACUGAGACACGGUCCAGACUCCUACGGGAGGCAGCAGUGGGGAAUAUUGGACAAUGGGCGAAAGCCUGAUCCAGCCAUACCGCGUGGGUGAAGAAGGCCUUCGGAUUGUAAAGCCCUUUUAUUGGGGAAGAAAAGCAGCAUGUUAAUACCCCGCUGUUCUGACGGUACCCAAAGAAUAAGCACCGGCUAACUUCGUG
rnacentral:rRNA from 1 species